GUGAGGCAGCAGGCCCGGCACCCUGCCCACAACCACAUAGCGGGCCCAGGCUUGUCUGACGCCUCAGGCUGUGCUCUCUCCAGCUCACUGCGGUGCCUCUCCCAGAUUCGGGCACACUCUGGUGUAACCUGCUUCGCUCGUUCGCGGGAUGGGUGGUGAGCAUGGAGCCCAUUUUCCCAUGUGGCAUUUCAGCAACAGGACUUGGCUAUUUGAAACUCCCCAGACAUAGCAGGAUUUAAAAAAACGGAUCCCCUCUGGCUGGGCAUUUAGGUUGCUUUCACUUCUGGGCUGCUAUAAACAGCCUGCAGUUACUGCCUCAGGACGCCUUUCUGGAAGAUUCUUCUGCAGCGCACACACUGCCUCCUCUGAAGUGUCCUGGCUGCAUGUGCUGCUCUCCUUGCCCUGGGCUGCCCUCUUCUCCCCGGUGUCAUGAGUACCUGCUGACCUUCUUCUUCUCCCAGGACAGAGUGCCUUCCUUCUCUUCCUUCUCUGCCUUGGCCUCCAGCACGUAGUAGGCGCCUAGGAAAUGUUUUCCAGCAGAACGAGCCAUCUCCUGGCUGGUUUAGCAGUGUGGGAUUGUGUGGUGUUUCUAUUAGUCUCCAUGAACAAGUGCCACUGUGUUAUUAAAUUUUUCC